GUGCUCCUUUCAGCAGCAUAUAUACUAAAAUUGGAACAUACAGCGAUUACCAUGGCUCCUGCACAAGGAUAACACGCAAAUUCAUGAAAAGUUCCAUAUUUUU
ensembl:snRNA U6 U6 spliceosomal RNA